AACUCCCACACGCUGAGAAUUAAUUCACAAGGAACUGGGACAAAUAAUAAUUAACCUGGAUUCUUCAACAACUUUUGACUAGUGAUUUGAGACUCCAUGGAUUAACAUUGCUGAGAUCUAUGUGGUGGAGAAUUAGAAUUGGGUUUUAAUAUCACUGGUACAGGUCGUGAAAUUUGUUGUCUUUGUGGCAGCAUGCAAUAGAGAAAAGCUGUGAAUUACAAAACCUGACAGCGAUGGAGAUGAAGCUAUUCCUAAAACUUUGAGUGUAUGUCUUCAGGCUGCUCUACCUCCUCCUUAAUGGUAGCAAUGAGAAGAAGGCAUGUCCUGGAUGAUGGGAGUCCUUAAUGAUGGAUGCUGCCAUUUCGAGACAUCACCUUUUGAAGACAGAAACGUAACAAUCUACAGUAUGUUACAGGCCCUUCAACCCACAACUUUGGGCUGACCAGGUUUACUGUGCUUGGUCACUUCAAGCAAUGGAGAUUAAAAGAAACCCUGCCAAUGGUUCCACAAGAUAAGGAGACAUCCAAACCGACCAACAGUGAAUUGGAGAGUUUCCAUUUCUUGUAGCCUGGAGAAAGAACAGUUCAACAUUUCUUGUAGCCUGGAAUUGUGCACUCCCACCAGAAGCCAUUCAACAAACUCAAAGGGACUCUCUGUCCCAACAAAGGCAAAAAUAAAAUUGCAGGUACACAUAACCCUAUAUUGGGCCUCAGAAUAGUUAAACCAUUAAUGAGUCGGGUGAGACAGUCUUUGUUAUUUGUCUGUGCACUCGGGGCCAGCAGAUCUGAUUCCGGUCAUUAUUGAGUGAUUCUGGAGAGAAUGUACAGUACAAGGCCAUUGAGUACAAGAUCACAGAUGUUAGAAAAUAGAACUGUACAGCACAGGAACUGGCCAUUUAGCCCAUAAUGUUGUGCUGAACUAAAUAGAAAGCAAAUUAAAAAAACACCCAAACACUAAUCCCUCCUACCGACACCAUGUCCUUAUCCCUCCAUUACACCCAUGUGCUGAUCCAAACUUCUCUUAAAAGCCUCUAAUAUAUUUGCCUCUACCACCAUACCAGGUAGCACACUCCAGGCAAUCACCCAGGACUGAGUAAUAAAAAUAAAAAUUACACACCCCCCUUGAACCCCUCACCUUCAAUGCAUGCCCUCUGUUAUUAAACAUUUCAUCCCUGGGAAACAGAUUCUCCCUGUCUACUCUAUGCCUCUCAUAAUCUUAUAAACCUCUAUCAGAUUUCCUCUCUUUCUCCACUGCUCCAGAGAAAAGAACCCAAGUUUAUCCAGCCUCUCGUGACAGCACAUGCCCUCCAAACCAGACAGUGGUAAACCUCUUCUGUACUCUCUCCAAAGCCUCAACAUCCUUCCUAUAGUGGGGCGAUCAGAACUGUAUGCAAUACCACAGACAUGGCCUAACCAGUGUUUUAUAAAGUUGCAACACAAACACUUCAACUUUUGAACUCAUUGCCUCGAGUAACAAAUGUUCAUAACACUUCUCCCAGUAGGGCAGCACAGUGGUGCAUUGGUUAAUGGACCGCUGUAUCAGUGCCAGUUUUCCGGGUUCAAUUCCCGCCGCUGCCAUUUACGGAGUUCGGACUUUCUCCCUUUCUCUGGGCGCUCUGGUUUCCUCCCACGUUCUGAAGAUGGAAGGUGUUAAUCGGUCACAUGGGUAUAAUGUUGGCUGCAUGGGCCUGUUAUCACACUGUACCUUUAGAUACAAUUAAAAAAAAAUCCUCUUGCUAAAAUGCCUAACAUCCAGAGGUCAGGUACAGGCCGAAACGAGGUGGUGGGAUCCAAGCCCCAAGAGCGUGUCAAAGUGACUGAACCUGAAGUCUGGACGAUGACUUAAACACGGGGGUCGGAUUGGAAAGUUGGGCACAGGCAGAAUUGAGGGGGUGGGGUCCAGGCCCUAGAGUAGAUUGAAGCGGCUGAACCCGAAGUUUGGACAUUCAUUUAGACAGCGGGCCAGAUUGAAAAGGUCAGGGUGUCGGGGUUCAAGGUAAGGGACAGCCCGGUUCAGCACCCUGCUCCACUCUUCACUGAAUUAAGGGUCUGGGGAUGGAUUCUUUGCGGACUUCCGUUCACGGACUUAUAUUUUUAAAGGGUUCUUUUGGAUUUCUUUGUUUUGUGGCUGCCUGCUUGGAGACGAAUCUCAAGGUUGUGGUGGUGGUGCCAUCCGUCGGUCUCGAGAGACCAUGGAUCUGCACCUGGAGUUUCCAGGGCGCAGGCCUGGGCAGGGUUGUAUGGGAGACCAGCAGUUGCCCAAGCUGCAGGCCUUCCCCUCUCCAUGCCACCGAUGUUGUCCAAGGGAAGGGCACUGGGACCCAAGCAGUGUCAUUGCAGAGCAAUGUGUUGGACACAAACACGCUGCCUCAGCUGAGGCUCGAACCAGUGACCUUCAGGUUACUAGUCUGAUGCCUUGCCCACUAAGCCAACUCAAGGUUGUAUACACAUACUUCUAUAAUAAAUGUACUUUGAAAUCCCAGUUCAUAGACAAAGCACAUGGGUGAGGAUCCAUUCAGCAUCAAUCCAAGCAGAAGAUCACUCACUCAGGAAAGGAGCCAGGAAACACUGCAAGAACAGAAUUAGGCCAUUCAGCCCACAUCUGAUCUACUUUCCCCAAUGUCAUUCUCGCUAUUCGGUGCUCUGUCUUUAUUUUCCUGGGUACUACUGCAACACACUGAUGUGAUGAUGGCGGCUCCUGUUCCAACAUAUCGGUCCAUAAUCUCUGCUUGAGCCAAGAUGAGGCCAUCCUCAGGGUGGAGGAGAAACAUCUUACAUUCUGUCUUUAUUCUAUUCUGUCCUUAUAUUCUGAUGGUAUUGAUAUAAUUUCUCCUUCUGAUAAACAAAUUCAGCCCCUCCACCAAUUCCUCACUCUGACCAUUCACUUCUUCUCACCUGACUAUUACUUCCCCUGAGUCCCCUCCUCCUUUCUUCUAUGGCCCAGUCUCCUUUCCUAUCAGAUUCCUUCUUCUCUAGCUCUUUACCUUUCCCACCCACCUGGCUUCACCCAUCACCUUCUCCUCCCCCCACCAUUUUAUCCUGGCAUCUGCACCCUUCCUUCUCAGUCCUGAAGAGGGUCUCCGCUUGAAAUGCUGACUGUUUAUUCCUCUGUAUGGAUGCUGCCUGACCUGCAGAGUUCCUCCAGCAUUGUGUGUGGGUUCCUAUAGGUUUCACUGCUUUAUACAUACAAAAUUAAUAAAAUCAAUUUGCCAAUUUACUGUUAAUCCCCUUACCUAUUAAUCUUGGACUUAAAUACACCUAAUGACUUGGCAUCCGCAACCUUCUGGCGAUGAUUUCACAGAUUCACCACCCUCUGGCUGAAGAAAUUCCUCCUACCACAGUUCUACAUUCAGCUCUCAACCCUUCAUUCUGAGGUUUUGCCUUCGGAUCCCAGACUCUCCCGCUAAGGGAAACAUCCUCUCCACAUCCACUCCAUCCAGGCCUUUCAGCAUCAUUAAUACCAAGCCUGAUCUCUGACAGAAUGUAAUAGACCCCACCUUCCACAACAACUUUUUACAAGUGCAGUGGAUUCUAGAUGAUCGGGGCAGCUGCUUUCUUGGGAAGACUCUUGAAGGUCAAAAACUAAUUGAGAAAAUAGCUGGGGUUCCCUCCAUUACUGGGACACUGGGACUGUUGUUCAACAGUUUCUAAAAGUUGGCAGUUGCGUGCACUUGUGACACUACAACAUGAACGGUUUCUAAAUGGCAUCAAUUGUGAGUGUUUGUGUUCAAAGAACAGUGAUUUUGGUCACUGAUAGCUGGUGAUAAAUAAGCAGUAAGACAACUUCUGAACUGUUUUGCUCACUGCGGAUUCAAGCAUUGUGGCUUGGAGCUUGGAGACUUCAACAAGUCAGGCACUACGAAGAAUUUAAAGGAAUUAACAAUCAUCUUGAAUGUUACAAUGAAAAUGAAGAUUGGACGACGCAAUUGUCAAAAGCAUUUGAUGAAUCAGGUUUAUCAUCACCCACAUGAGUCGUGAAACUUGUUAACUUAGCAGCAGUUCAAUGCAACACAUGAUAUAGAAGAAGAUAAGAUAUAAAAGUAAGUAAAUAAGUAAAUCAAUCCUCUGUUGGUAACUACUAGGAACAUAAGUUUUAGUUGUAUUGUAGUAGCAUUGUUUGGGUUUGGGUUACUGUGGAGAUACGUCUCUACCAAAGGGGGGGUAAGGUGCUCCUUCCCUCUGCUAGCCUGCAGGUCACACUUGGGCAAA